CGAAGGGGCUAGCGUUGCUCGGAAUGACUGGGCGUAAAGGGCGUGUAGGCGGUUUGUACAGUCAGAUGUGAAAUCCCCGGGCUUAACCUGGGAGCUGCAUUUGAGACGUGCAGACUAGAGUGUGAGAGAGGGUUGUGGAAUUCCCAGUGUAGAGGUGAAAUUCGUAGAUAUUGGGAAGAACACCGGUGGCGAAGGCGGCAACCUGGCUCAUUACUGACGCUGAGGCGCGAAAGCGUGGGGAGCAAACAGGAUU
rnacentral:rRNA from 1 species